rnacentral:ncRNA from 2 species
UUUUCCGAGGAGCGUUGCGACGGACCUUCUGCGUCCGCCAGGCUCGGAAGGCUUCACCAGGCAGCCGUGCGGCGACAUUCGCGCCGGCCCGCCUCCUGAACGGCGCUCACGUCAU